AUUGAACGCUGGCGGCAGGCUUAACACAUGCAAGUCGAGCGAGCGGCGGACGGGUGAGUAAUGUCUGGGAAACUGCCUGAUGGAGGUGGAUAACUACUUGAAACGGUAGCUAAUCCCGCAUACCAUCAGAUGUGCCCAGAUGGGAUUAGCUAGUAGGUGGGGUAAUGGCUCACCUAGGCGACGAUCCCUAGCUGGUCUGAGAGGAUGAUCACCCACCCUGUAACUGAGAAACGGCCCAGAAGCCAAAGGCAGGCAGCAGAGGGGAAAAUUGCACAAUAGGCGCAAGCCUAGUGCAGCCAGGCGGCGUGUGUGAAGAAGGCCUUAGGGUUGUAAGGCACUGUCAGAGAGAAGAAGGUACUCGCAGAAGAAGCACCGGCUAACUCCGUGCCAGAAGCCGCGGUAAUUC
rnacentral:rRNA from 1 species